UACGGGGGGGGGCAAGCGUUGUUCGGAAUUACUGGGCGUAAAGGGCGCGUAGGCGGUUCGCUAAGUUGAAUGUGAAAAACUCUGGGCUUAACCCAGAGCCUGCAUUCAAUACUGGCGGGCUAGAGUUCUGGAGGGGAUAGCGGAAUUCCUGGUGUAGCGGUGAAAUGCGUAGAUAUCAGGAGGAACACCGGUGGCGAAGGCGGCUAUCUGGACAGAGUCUGACGCUGAGGCGCGAAAGCUAGGGGAGCAAACAGG
rnacentral:rRNA from 1 species